GAGGGUAUAGCUCAGUGGUAGAGCACAUGCUUAGCAUGCACAAGGUCCUGGGUUCAAUCCCUGGUACUGCCG
rnacentral:tRNA from 1 species